UUAAGUGCCAAAUUUUGCGUUAAAGAAACUACAUUAUCAAACAUCCAAGAAGCUGCUUGUUUCUCGGAACUUUUAGGCAACACAAGAGAACUUUGGUUAAGCUCGGGGAAGGUUCCGGAUGGAAAUAAUCUCAUACAGUGAUGAGUGGCCCGAGAUUUUUUUGGAAUGUGCAAAGCUUUUCCGGCUGCAUUGGAGCUGAUUUAACGAGCUGCAGCGGUGAAUCAUCCGUCGUGACAAUAACCCGAACUAGAGCAGCUUCCAUCUUCCCGCCCUCUUUAUCUGACGAAGUACGGAUGGUAAGCUGAUCUGACAGCGUUGUCGGUCUUGGCUUGGGGGAUUCUUCCUUCUCGUCCUCCUCGUCGACCUGGUCAGUAGUCUCGAAUUCCACUCUUGGCCAAACUACGGCAUCGUAUGCUCACGGAAUGAUUGGGGUCUAGUCGACUUCCCUCAUCCCACAGAGUAAACGGCGGCCGCAGAAGCUGCUGCAUUAGUAGUGACCGGAGAUUUCGUUGGUUGUCGUCCAUCUUCCGAUUCGAUGGUGCACCACUCUUAACUUCCGGAUUACAUCCAGGU